GAUAAAUUGCUUGUUGAAACUGCUGGGUGUGCCUGCCCACCAGACACCCGAUCUUGCCGUCAUUAAAAGCCUCGCUUUCGCUGUUCUCCAGGUCCCUGAGUCAGUUCUUUGGAUUUGGACGGAUGAGUUUCUUUCUCACAAGGGUCAAAUGGACAUUUUAUAACUUUUAAAAGUACAGUAUCUAAAAUUCAGAAAUCACAGCAGAAGAAAGAAUCAGUUAACUUAAAGGUAGGUCAAUAGAAAUUAUCCAGACACAGAAAGAGAAAAGAAUGAAAAACAGAAAAGCCUGUGGAACCACACCAUCAAAUGAUCUGACGUACAUGUCACUGGAGUCCCCAGAUCAACAACAGAGGAAAAUGGGGCAGGAGCAAUAUCUGAAAAGGCAGUGGCUGAAAUUUUCAAAAUUGAUAAGCAAUGUCAACUUACAGACAUUAGAAUCUUAGUAAAUCACAAGCAGGAAAAAACUAAAAGCAAACAACUCCAGCGCAUUGUAGUAAAAAAUUCCAAAAACCAAAGGUAAACAGAAACUGUAAAAAUUAUUGAGAUUAAAAAAAAAAAAAAGACAAUGCAUUCAGGGAAUAACAAUAGGAAAGAUGACUAGAUCUCCUCAGAAAACCAUGGAAACCGAAAGAGAAUGACCUCUUUAAAGUACCAAAAUAAAGAAUUUUAACCAACAAUUUAUGUACAAUAAAAUAUAGAUACUUUCAGACAAAGCUAAGAACAUUUGUCACAGCACAAAAAAAUACUAAAGGAGCUCCUCAGGCUUUCCUUCUGCUGACAGAAAAUGACCCCAGAUAGAAACUCGGAAGUGCAUGGAAAAAUGAAGUGCACCAGGAAGGUAAAUAUGUUUGUAAAUUAAAAAGAUGAGGACUAUGCAGCAAUAGCUCUGGUGGCGCAUGAUGAUGAUAACACGUGUCAACUAAUAUCCAAGACAACAAUAGCACCAGGUCUCUGGAGAAGGACUUGAAGAGGAUGCUUUGUUCAGAACCCACUCCACCUCUCAGGUGC
rnacentral:lncRNA from 10 species